UACCUGGUUGAUCCUGCCAGUAGUCAUAUGCUUGUCUCAAAGAUUAAGCCAUGCAUGUCUAAGUAUAAACAAGUUUGUACUGUGAAACUGCGAAUGGCUCAUUAAAUCAGUUAUAGUUUAUUUGAUGAUAUCUUGCUACAUGGAUAACUGUGGUAAUUCUAGAGCUAAUACAUGCAAUCAAAGCCCCGACUUCUGGGAGGGGUGUAUUUAUUAGAUAAAAAACCAACGCGGCUCGCCGCUCGUUUGGUGAUUCAUAAUAACUUCUCGAAUCGCAUGGCCUUGUGCCGGCGAUGCUUCAUUCAAAUAUCU
rnacentral:ncRNA from 1 species